rnacentral:rRNA from 1 species
GACGCCAGUUCGUACGGAGCCAACCUUGAAAUACCACCCUUUAAUGUUUGAUAGUCUAACGUAGACCCGUAAUCCGGGUUGCGGACAGUGUCUGGUGGGUAGUUUGACUGGGGCGGUCUCCUCCCAAAGAGUAACGGAGGAGCACGAAGGUUAGCUAAUCACGGUCGGACAUCGUGAGGUUAGUGCAAAGGCAUAAGCUAGCUUGACUGCGAGAGUGACGGUUCGAGCAGGUGCGAAAGCAGGUCUUAGUGAUCCGGUGGUUCUGAAUGGAAGGGCCAUCGCUCAACGGAUAAAAGGUACUCCGGGGAUAACAGGCUGAUACCGCCCAAGAGUUCAUAUCGACGGCGGUGUUUGGCACCUCGAUGUCGGCUCAUCACAUCCUGGGGCUGAAGUAGGUCCCAAGGGUACGGCUGUUCGCCGUUUAAAGUGGUACGCGAGCUGGGUUUAGAACGUCGUGAGACAGUUCGGUCCCUAUCUGCCGUGGGCGCUGGAGAAUUGAGGGGGGUUGCUCCUAGUACGAGAGGACCGGAGUGAACGCACCACUGGUGUUCGGGUUGUCAUGCCAAUGGCAUUGCCCGGUAGCUAAGUGCGGAAAAGAUAAGUGCUGAAAGCAUCUAAGCACGAAACUUGCCCCGAGAUGAGUUCUCCCUGACUCCUUGAGAGUCCUGAAGGGACGUUGAAGACUACGACGUUGAUAGGCCGGAUGUGUAAGUGCAGCGAUGCAUUGAGCUAACCGGUACUAAUGACCCGUGAGGCUUAACCUU